GUUGAACGCUGGCGGCAUGCUUUACACAUGCAAGUCGAACGGUAACAGGCCGCAAGGUGCUGACGAGUGGCGAACGGGUGAGUAAUGCAUCGGAACGUGCCCAGUCGUGGGGGAUAACGCAGCGAAAGCUGUGCUAAUACCGCAUACGAUCUAUGGAUGAAAGCGGGGGACCGUAAGGCCUCGCGCGAUUGGAGCGGCCGAUGUCAGAUUAGGUAGUUGGUGGGGUAAAGGCUCACCAAGCCAACGAUCUGUAGCUGGUCUGAGAGGACGACCAGCCACACUAGGACUGAGACACGGCCCAGACUCCUACCGGAGGGAGAAGUGGGGAAUUUUGGACAAUGGGAGCAAGCCUGAUCCAGCAAUGCCGCGUGCAGGAAGAAGGCCUUCGGGUUGUAAGCUGCUUUUGUACGGAACGAAAAGGUUUGGGUUAAUACCCUGGGUCGACGACGGUACCGUAAGAAUAAGCACCGGCUAACUACGUGCCAGCCGCCGCGGUAA
rnacentral:rRNA from 1 species